AUAUGGAUGGUAGCGACAAUAAAUCACAAUGCGGAGACUAUCGCUGUUGCAAUCGGGUUGAGAACAAAGUAACAACUCUUAUCGAUAAGCCAUUGGAGGGCAAGUCUGGUGCCAGCAGCCGCGGUAAUUCCAGCUCCAAUAGCGUAUAUUAACGUUGUUGCAGUUAAAAAGCUCGUAGUUGAAGUGUGGGUGAUCGCUGUUGUGAGACUUCGGUCUCUCGACAGUAAGUCACCCCCUUCCAGUAUCCAGUAGUGGGUAUUCAGUUACUUACUAUUGUGUGUUGGUCGUUUACUGUGAGAAAAUUAGAGUGUUCAAAGCAGGCGUUUGCUUGAAUAGAUUAGCAUGGAAUAAUAAUUGAAGGCUUUCGUGUUCGAUUUGAUUGGUUUGUUCAUGGAAGCAAGGUUAAAAGGAACAGUUGGGGGUAUUCUUAUGUGAUUCGGUUCGAGGUGAAAUUCUUCGGAUUUUUGGAAGAUGGACUAGUGCGAGUAUCAAU
rnacentral:rRNA from 1 species